rnacentral:misc_RNA from 1 species
UGAGAAGCUAGUGGAGGUUCUUGGAUGUGGAGUCAAGGUCGGGGCAGAGGUGUGGCACAGUACUUUUGACAUCAAGAAUACGAUUGUCAAUAAAGAGAUGAUAGAGGCGAGUUUGAAGAUGUUGAUGAACACCUCCACGGGAAGUACAAAGAUCAGAAGUAGAGCAAAAGACGUCGAAGCAAUGAUUAAGAGAGCUGUGGAGAAGGGAGGCUCUUCUUAUAAUCAUCUAACUGCACUAAUAGAGGAGCUCAAGUGCCAUGUUUUUAGCACCUCAGAAGAGUAAUUGAAAAUAAGCACACAUAUUAUGUUUAAAGCAAUCUUUUUCCCCGACUCCACUUAUGGACUACACUGAGUGUGUCGUUGAUGUUGUUUCAGGUAUAGACAAGAAUGAAAAUGAAACUAUGUGAACCUGUAAGAUGUAGA